GGUCGCGAUGGUGUGGUCCUCAC
rnacentral:siRNA from 1 species